AGACCCGAAACCCGGUGAUCUAGCCAUGGGCAGGUUGAAGGUUGGGUAACACUAACUGGAGGACCGAACCGACUAAUGUUGAAAAAUUAGCGGAUGACCUGUGGCUGGGGGUGAAAGGCCAAUCAAACCGGGAGAUAGCUGGUUCUCCCCGAAAGCUAUUUAGGUAGCGCCUCGUGAAUUCAUCUCCGGGGGUAGAGCACUGUUUCGGCUAGGGGGCCAUCCCGGCUUACCAACCCGAUGCAAACUGCGAAUACCGGAGAAUGUUAUCACGGGAGACACACGGCGGGUGCUAACGUCCGUCGUGAAGAGGGAAACAACCCAGACCGCCAGCUAAGGUCCCAAAGUCAUGGUUAAGUGGGAAACGAUGUGGGAAGGCCCAGACAGCCAGGAUGUUGGCUUAGAAGCAGCCAUCAUUUAAAGAAAGCGUAAUAGCUCACUGGUCGAGUCGGCCUGCGCGGAAGAUGUAACGGGGCUAAACCAUGCACCGAAGCUGCGGCAGCGACACUGUGUGUUGUUGGGUAGGGGAGCGUUCUGUAAGCCUGCGAAGGUGGCCUGUGAGGGUUGCUGGAGGUAUCAGAAGUGCGAAUGCUGACAUAAGUAACGAUAAAGCGGGUGAAAAGCCCGCUCGCCGGAAGACCAAGGGUUCCUGUCCAACGUUAAUCGGGGCAGGGUGAGUCGACCCCUAAGGCGAGGCCGAAAGGCGUAGUCGAUGGGAAACGGGUUAAUAUUCCCGUACUUGGUGUUACUGCGAAGGGGGGACGGAGAAGGCUAUGUUGGCCGGGCGACGGUUGUCCCGGUUUAAGCGUGUAGGUGUGUGUUCCAGGUAAAUCCGGUUCACUUUAACACUGAGGCGUGACGACGAGGCACUACGGUGCUGAAGCAACAAAUGCCCUGCUUCCAGGAAAAGCCUCUAAGCAUCAGGUAACAUCAAAUCGUACCCCAAACCGACACAGGUGGUCAGGUAGAGAAUACCAAGGCGCUUGAGAGAACUCGGGUGAAGGAACUAGGCAAAAUGGUGCCGUAACUUCGGGAGAAGGCACGCUGACACGUAGGUGAAGUGAUUUACUCAUGGAGCUGAAGUCAGUCGAAGAUACCAGCUGGCUGCAACUGUUUAUUAAAAACACAGCACUGUGCAAACACGAAAGUGGACGUAUACGGUGUGACGCCUGCCCGGUGCCGGAAGGUUAAUUGAUGGGGUCAGCGCAAGCGAAGCUCCUGAUCGAAGCCCCGGUAAACGGCGGCCGUAACUAUAACGGUCCUAAGGUAGCGAAAUUCCUUGUCGGGUAAGUUCCGACCUGCACGAAUGGCGUAAUGAUGGCCAGGCUGUCUCCACCCGAGACUCAGUGAAAUUGAACUCGCUGUGAAGAUGCAGUGUACCCGCGGCAAGACGGAAAGACCCCGUGAACCUUUACUAUAGCUUGACACUGAACAUUGAGCCUUGAUGUGUAGGAUAGGUGGGAGGCUUUGAAGUGUGGACGCCAGUCUGCAUGGAGCCGACCUUGAAAUACCACCCUUUAAUGUUUGAUGUUCUAACGUGGACCCGUUACCCGGGUUGCGGACAGUGUCUGGUGGGUAGUUUGACUGGGGCGGUCUCCUCCUAAAGAGUAACGGAGGAGCACGAAGGUUGGCUAAUCCUGGUCGGACAUCAGGAGGUUAGUGCAAUGGCAUAAGCCAGCUUGACUGCGAGCGUGACGGCGCGAGCAGGUGCGAAAGCAGGUCAUAGUGAUCCGGUGGUUCUGAAUGGAAGGGCCAUCGCUCAACGGAUAAAAGGUACUCCGGGGAUAACAGGCUGAUACCGCCCAAGAGUUCAUAUCGACGGCGGUGUUUGGCACCUCGAUGUCGGCUCAUCACAUCCUGGGGCUGAAGUAGGUCCCAAGGGUAUGGCUGUUCGCCAUUUAAAGUGGUACGCGAGCUGGGUUUAGAACGUCGUGAGACAGUUCGGUCCCUAUCUGCCGUGGGCGCUGGAGAACUGAGGGGGGCUGCUCCUAGUACGAGAGGACCGGAGUGGACGCAUCACUGGUGUUCGGGUUGUCAUGCCAAUGGCACUGCCCGGUAGCUAAAUGCGGAAGAGAUAAGUGCUGAAAGCAUCUAAGCACGAAACUUGCCCCGAGAUGAGUUCUCCCUGAGACUUAGAGUCUCCUGAAGGAACGUUGAAGACGACGACGUUGAUAGGCCGGGUGUGUAAGCGCAGCGAUGCGUUGAGC
rnacentral:rRNA from 1 species